ensembl:snRNA U6 U6 spliceosomal RNA
UUGCUUUGGCAGCAUAUAAACUAAAAUUGGAACCAUACAGAGAUUAACAUGGCUCUUGAGCAAGGAUGACAUGCAAAUUCAUGAAACAUUUAAUAUUUUU